CAGGCAACCCCGCGUGGAAGGCGUGGCCGCGGGAUACUGGCGGCAGCAACGCCGAGUCUGGGUGUACAGCAGGACGCGAUGGCUACGUGGGCCGAGCGGCUGGCGGGCGUGCGGGGAGUGCUGCUUGACAUCACUGGCGUGCUGUAUGACAGCGGCACAGGCGGCGGAGCCGCCAUUGCGGGCUCCGUGGAGGCGGUGGCGAGGUUAGUGGGCUCAACGCAGGGACUGUCGGGCUGUGCUGCUGCCGGGGGCGGGGCGUUCGCGCCGGACCCGCCUCCCCCGCACUGGUCCCGCCCCUCACGCUGGCUAGGAACCAGACUGAAGCUGUCCCCGUUGAAGGUGAGAUUCUGCACCAAUGAGUCCCAGAAGUCCCGGGGAGAGCUGGUGGGGUUGCUUCAGCGCCUGGGAUUUGACAUCUCAGAAGGGGAGGUGACCGCCCCUGCACCAGCCACCUGCCAGAUCCUGAAGGAGCGAGGCCUGCGGCCACACCUGCUCAUCCAUGACGGGGUCCGCUCAGAAUUUGAUGACAUCGACAUGGCCAACCCAAACUGUGUCGUGAUUGCGGAUGCUGGUGAAGGCUUUUCCUAUGAGAACAUGAACAGAGCCUUCCGAGUGCUCAUGGAGCUGGAAAACCCGGUGCUCAUAUCACUGGGGAAGGGACGCUACUACAAGGAGACCUCUGGCCUUAUGCUGGAUGUUGGAGCCUAUAUGAAGGCACUCGAGUAUGCCUGUGGUAUUGAGGCUGAAGUGGUCGGGAAACCUUCCCCUGAGUUCUUCAGGUCUGCCCUACAAGCCAUCGGGGUGGAAGCUCACCAGGCCAUCAUGAUUGGCGAUGACAUCGUGGGUGAUGUUGGCGGCGCCCAGCAGUGUGGGAUGAGAGCGCUGCAAGUGCGGACCGGAAAGUUCAGAUCCCAUUCGGGUCUCUUUCGUGACUCCCAGAGCUCCCGAGAGAGCUGUGAAGUCCCCUGGUGACCUCCAGGCUCCUUCAUCCCAUGCUCUACCCUGACCCAGCUCUGUCAGGAGCAGCGGUUCUGAAGCCCACAGGCAGCGGUUUCGUGUGCUUUUUCCUCGUGACAACACCCAGUUCACACUGUGGGGCAGCAGCUGAGGACCAGUGCCCCCAGAGUGCCAUCCUGCCAGGUGACCGGUGAUGCCCGUUACUGGUGAGGUUAGCACUGACUGCUUGAUGAUGACGGUGACUACCGUUGGAGGCCUGCCGAUGAGCAUCAUCCAGAAGUGAAGGCUGACGGGUACGUGGACAACCUUGCGGAGGCUGUGGACCUGCUGCUGCAGCACGUGGGCAAGUGACAGGCCUUCCGGAGCCGUGGACAAGUGCACCACCCUGUGCCCACACUUCUUCCCACUGCUGUGCCCCCCUCCCCCACGCUUCCAGGCCCCAGGCUACCCAAAGCUCUGCCCGCCCUGCCCUCUGCCCGCUGCUGGCAUGGGCAGGUGCAGGCAGUUCUGGGAUGCUUGUCCCUCGGCCAGAGCCAGCCCUCCCCUUCCUCAACGUCCCUCUACUAGUUGCCUGUCAGCAUUCCUCCCUCCCCAGCCUCUGGGCAGAGGAUUGUUCCCUACCUGUAUGGCCUGCUCACCUCCCUGGCCCAUGUCGUGUUUACAUUAGUGACCUCCAGGAAGGUAAAAGCAAGAGACCUGUCAGGCCUCCAGAAAAUGAAACCCUCAGACAUGGGCUGGAAGGUCCCCCUGAGUCCCUGAAUUCCUUCAGUCACCAUUGGCACAUGGUCUUUUGAUUGGCACCAUCCAGUUGGAUGAGGCAUGUUGACUCCUCUUUGAACUCUCUGAUGUGAGUGAGGAGCCUGCAGAAAACUCAGGGGCCUGCCCUGCACAAUGCGGGAAGCCCAAGCUGAGCCAGCCUGCCCACCACUCACAGCUCUACCUGGCCCCAGUCAGAGCGCCUGAUGAGCAGUCUGCCCCCUCCCCCUUCCCUCAGCAAACCAUGCCAGCCCACUGUUCUUCCUGUCCCCAUGAGUUACCCAGACACAGGCUGGGGAGCUCUCAGGAAACUGAAGAUACCCUCCCACAGAGCAGAAGUGUCCACCUCUACAGCAAGGCUGCGACACAGAAAGUACCUUGGAGUUGGGAUGGACAGACUUGAAUGUGCUGGAGUUAGGGUGGACAGACUUGAAUGUGCUGGAGUUGGGAUGGACAGACUUGAAUGGGCUGGAGUUGGGAUGGACAGACUUGAAUUGGCUGUGCCCAGUACACAGCACAAAUUAUGGUUCAAUAAACAUGACCUCAACAGUC